rnacentral:rRNA from 1 species
CCUACGGGAGGCAGCAGUGGGGGAUAUUGCACAAUGGGGGAAACCCUGAUGCAGCGACGCCGCGUGUGGGAAGACGGCCCUCUGGAUUGAAAACUAUUGUCCCCAGGGACAAAGAUGACGGUACCUGGGGAGGAAGCUCCGGCUAACAACGUGCAAGCAGCCGCGGUAAUACGUAGGGAGCGAGCGUUGUCCGGAAAUACUGGGUGAAAGGGGAGCGUAGGAGGGGAUUAAAGUUGGUGGGCAAAACUACCGGCUCAACUGGUAGUCGCACUCAAAACUGCAGCUCUUGAGUGAAGUAGAGGGGGGCGGAAUUCCUAGUGUAGCGGUGAAAUGCGUAGAUAUUAGGAGGAACACCAGUGGCGAAGGCGGCCUGCUGGGCUUUUACUGACGCUGAGGCUCGAAAGUGUGGGGAGCAAACAGGAUUAGAUACCCUAGUAGUC